UCUGAGCAUGAAAAGCAGCCCAGCCCUGACCCAGCAGCUCUGGGACAGGAGCCCAGCCCAGGAUUCUCAGGUGUUCAUAGUCCCUGGUCAGGACAGAACACAAACCACUCACCAUGGAGUUUGGGCUCAGCUGGAUUUUCCUUGUUGCUAUUCUAAGAGGUGUCCAGUGUGAUGUGCAGCUGGUGGAGUCUGGGGGAGGCUUGGCGAAGCCUGGGGGUUCCCUCAAACUCUCCUGCCUGGCCUCUGGGUUCACCUUCAGUAGGUUUGCAAUGAGCUGGGUCCCCCAGGCUCCAGGGAAGGGGCUGGAGUGGGUCUCAGUAAUUAGUAGUAGUGGUAGUAGCACAUACUACGCCAACUCUGUGAAGGGCCGAUUCACCAUCUCCAGAGACAAUGGCAAGAACACACUUUACCUGCAAAUGAACAACCUGAAAGCCGAGGACACGGCCAUGUAUUACUGUGCCACAGACACAGGUGCAGUGGGCCUGGCCCUGCUGGAGUGA